AUUAACCCCAAAAGUCCAGGAGGAGGAGAGGGAAGAUGAUUUGUCUUCAGAGCUACUUCCUGCUGACCUGGGACAACAAGAUACUCUCUGCUGGCAUGGGGUAAUGUCUCAAGCUGCUGUCCCUGGACAAGGCUCUGAUGGCAAACCUUGUUGGGAGACAAGAAGAGUGGUAAAAAUUUUUGCUGAAGAAGACAAUAUUUAAAAACCACAUAUGAUCUCUUUAUCCUUCCCUUUCUUUAUUUGAGAAUAUUAAAAUAUCAACAUUUACUGUCAUGCAAAAACUUUCAAUCAUAUGAUGGCACCUGAAAGAUUUAUUCAAACAUAAUGAAUAGAGCACCUAAAAGCAAUGGAAUCCCAGAUCAGCAGCUGCAAAAGCAGCAACAGCAGCUAUAACCUGAUUAUCAAGAG